rnacentral:lncRNA from 1 species
UUUGCAUAUUUGUUUGCAUAUAUAUUUGUGUUUGCCUGCAGGAAUAUAUGAACCUGAAGUUCAUAAUUACUUUUGUUGAUGCACAAAACCGGAGGUCUUGGAACAACGUAAAUCCGACCGUGGAUCUGCAUGAAAUGUAAAUGACACAAGAGUUAUCGUGGUUCACCCCAAGGUUUGGGCUACGUCCACACUGAUUGUAUUGUAUUUCUUUGAGAAGUGAGGGAGAGAGAGAGCUCUGAGAGAGAGCGUUGAGAGGGUGAGAGAGGGGAUCUCAGGCCUAGGAAUUGGCCUCCGAGGGUGAGAAUAAGGCCUCUCCAAUUGUGAGGGUGAGGGGUCCUUUUAUAGAAUAAGGACUCCUCACUUAUUACAUAUUUGCCCCUUCCUUUAUCCCAUAAUUACAUUUAAGUCCCCUGAGUAUUUGUACGAGAUCUAAAUACGAGGCCCUAAAUAUGGUAUAAACAGUAGUCCCCUAAGUCUUCAGUCAAGAGAGUCUUUUGGCUGGAGACUUGAAAUUCAGUCCAUGUGUGGGCCGAAGUAACUAGAUGUCGUCUUGAACUGGUACUUGAUAUGAGGCAGUGCCUAAUCUGAAAUGACGCUCAACUAGAAGUAGCACACGCUGCGAGGCUGCUCGGCUUGUGGCUUAUGUUGCCUUGGUUGGCUCAACUUGUGGUGUUGAAGGUGAGGGAGUCCCUUUUAUAGAAUAAGGGCUCGCUCCUCAAUACAUGAAUGAUGGGCUAGAGUUGAUGCUCUCUAAUGAUGGUGAGGGAGUCCCUUUUAUAGAAUAAGGGCUCGCUCCUCAAUACAUAAGUGAUGGGCUAGGAGUGAUGUUUGCAGCAAGGCAGUUGCUCAGCUGGCGGCGUUGCUCUCUAAUGAAGGUAAGGGAGUCCCUUUUAUAAAAUAAGGGUUCACUCCUCAGUACAUGAAUAAUGGGUGCUCUCUAAUGAAAGUGAGGGAUUCCCUUUUAUAGAAUAAGGGCCCACUCCUCAAUACAUAAGUGAUGGGCUAGAGUCCCCCAAGUAUUUUUCAUGAGUGCUCUCUAAAAGUGAAGGAGUCCCUUUUAUAGAAUAAGGGCUCGCUCCUCAAUACAUAAGUGAUGGGCUAGAGUCUCCCAAGUAUUUUUUAUGAGGCCCAGUUGAGGCCCAAUAUAUGGUACAUAAUGUAGUCCCCCAAGUCUUCGGUCAAUAGAGUCUGUUGGCUGGAGACUUCAAAUUGAAUCCAUGUAUGGGCCGAAGUGGCGGUUGUUAGGAGGCGAUAUUUGUAUACCUUGCACUGAAGCUUUGUAGGUGAAGCUUUGCAAGUGAAGCUUUGAAGCUAGAGCUCUGUAAAUGAAGCUUUUGAAGCUAGAGCUCUGUAAAUGAAGCUUUCGAAGCUAGAGCUCUGUAAAUGAAGCUUUCGAAGCUGGAGCUUUUGUAAAUGAAGCGUUUGAAGCUAAUUGACAUGAGUGAUGCUCAUGAAUGUUUAUGUUUGAUUGACAUGAGUGAUGCUCAUGGAUGUUGACAUGAGUGAUGCUCAUGAAUGUUUAUGUAUGAUUGGAUGAGUAAUGCUCAUGAAUGUUUAUGUAUGAUUGACAUGAGUAAUGCUCAUGGAUGUUGACAUGAGUGAUGCUCAUGAAUGUUUAUGUAUGAUUGGAUGAGUAAUGCUCAUGAAUGUUUAUGUAUGAUUGACAUGAGUAAUGCUCAUGUCUGAUUUGAAGUACUGGGCGUACUUUUGAUGACCUGGUUGGUGCUAUUUUGGGCAUAUGGGUCUUCGCCCGCCCUCCACAACAUGUCAGCCCAUUUGUUUUGGGCUUUUCCUUUUUUUUUUUUUUUUUUUUUUUUUUUUUUUUUUUUUUUACCCUCUGAUGGGGUUUAUAUAUAUUACCCUCUGAGCCCAUUUGUUUUGGGCUUUUCCUUUUUUUUUUUUUUUUUUUUUUUUUUUUUUUUUUUUUUUUACCCUCUGAUGGGGUUUAUAUAUAUUACCCUCUGAUGGGGUUUAUACAAAUAUCUUCGAAAGAUACGAAACAUAAAUUACAUCAUUCUGGUGGGGUGUUUUUUCCUUGCUUUUGCAGUGUCCCCAUGUGCCUCCUAUUUGCUUUCGCCUUUGUUUUCUCUAAAAUGAUAGCUGCUUUGGACAGCCACCACCCUUUUGCUUUUAUCUUUCUACUCCGAAUUUAUUACAUCCACUUUCUCUGGUAGGAUAACAUCCUCCAUGGAGCCCUCAAUCAUCUCAUCCACUUUCUCCCUCUGCUUUUCAGUCUCCCACUUUAUUUCCAAACAUCCUUUUGCUUUUCUUGUGAUUUUCUCAUAAAAGUAGGUUUUUUCACAAUUGUGAUGAGGAUGGAGCGAGCUGGUUGAUGAUUAUCCUGUCACUUCACCCAUCAUCAGUGGCUGUCUUUUUUCUUUUUGAGUUGGUGGUCGACACAUUAAUUUGUCAGAUAAAAAAAAUUCUUAUCUUCUUUCAUCAACCUUCUCUGUCCACCACGACAUUGAACCUCAGCUCCAUGAUAUGAGUCAUAUCUGAAAAGCAACUUGGGAUUGAUUGUAUGAUCCAAAAGCAAUGUCGUUUAAACUGUGUGAAGCUUGGCAGUGUGAACUGGAUUGGAGAAUCUGGGAGUUGAGGAGCUCUGAGCAGGAGUUUCUGAGGGUGUGCAGAUCAGAUAUGUGGCAUAGAUUCAGUAUUUGAGUCGGGUUAACCCGUUGGAUGGGUCAGACUUGGACGAAAUGAGAGGAUAUAUGCUGCACCUGCUUCGGACUCGUUCUCAUUAUUCCGUGCUUGCCUCUGAAUUCUUUUCCAAAUAAGGUCCCGCUUCCCGUAAAUUGAGAUGAUGAUUCAUCAGUGCCGAAAAGACUGAAGCUGAUGAUGUUGGAGAGGGAGAUGGCGAUGGCGGAGCUUGAGAGAGCGAGCUCGCCCAAAGGGCCGACCAUCAUCAUCGAAAUGAUUAGCAACAUGUUUUGAGAUAGAAUCACGGCAACCAUGGGUCCCGCUGUGCAUCCCAACCUCUUCACUUCCUCGAAGAAAUAAGUCCAUGUCAGAAUACUUGUAGUACUAUUUAUUUUCUGUUGCUGCUCUUCUUCUCUACGUUUUGGUAAUAGCAAGCUCUCUUCCAUGGCGACGUCUAAUUUUCAAGGACAGAGGCCAGAAGUUUUCAUUUUCUCGUACUGCUUCUUCACGUCUCUCAACGGAGAACCCGUCUAUGUCUCUCAACGGAGAACCCGUCUGGGGGGUCGCAUAGCAAUUACCCAUCUAUGAAAAUAGGUCUGGGAGCCAUAAUCGUAUCAAUGGAGUUUGAAGAGAGAGAGAGAGCCAUAAUCGUACUGUUCAGACAAGAAGCCCGCCGCAGUGAACUGGAUCGAAGGCCGCGGCAAGUUAGUGGUCUACAAGGCUGUGAUCAAGGGCGAUGUGGGUUCGUCUGAAGUGGGUUUGUCCUCCUUUGACACAUCAAUGGAGUUUUUGUCUUCCUUUGACACAUCAAUGGAGUUUGCAGACAACUUGUGGGGUUUUGAGGGGAAAAUGGUUGAGAGGUGGAAAGAAAAGGUGGGUCUUGUCGUUGCACAAGCCAUGGAUGUCUUUAAUUCCUCUUUGUGUUUUGUUUGCCACUUUCAGAGCUCCUUUGUUAGUGAAAAAAAAAAGGAGAGAGAGAAAGUGUAGAGAGCAAUCAAUUUCUGCACCAAAACCCAACAUCUGCAUCGAUUUCUGGACCAAAACCCAACAUCUGCAUCGGAAAGUGGAGCAUGAUGAGGCGUGGAGGAAAGAGCUGAGGAAAGUCAGCACCGAUUUCGUCAGGGAGUUAAUAACCGACCGCGUGAUGGAGUUGAUCCUGGCCACUGACUUCUUGCAUGUCGAUCUAUUUGCUGGAAAUGCUGAACCAGACCGUGGCGGAUCAAAUAAAAAAAAACAAGAGCGUCGAGCACAUGAGUAAGUUGUUCUGCGUCGAGAGCGAUUACACGCCCGAAGAAGAACAAAAGCUUCACGAGGAGUAUGCUUGGGCUUUUGUAGGACAUGUUGUUUUCUGAUGGAUUCACGAAGGUGGGUUUGGAAAAUGAUUAGUGGUGUUUGGGUUUUGGGGAUAUUUUGUUGUGGUUUUUCUUUCUGGGUUUUGUCAAAUUUUGCUGAUUCACAGUGAAGGUGAAAAAUUGAGAGAGAACCGACAUAGCUUUUCGUGUCGGUUCCCACAGACGGCGCCAAAUGUUGAUGCACAAAACCGGAGGUCUUGGAACAACGUAAAUCCGACCGUGGAUCUGCAUGAAAUGUAAAUGACACAAGAGUUAUCGUGGUUCACCCCAAGGUUUGGGCUACGUCCACACUGAUUGUAUUGUAUUUCUUUGAGAAGUGAGGGAGAGAGAGAGCUCUGAGAGAGAGCGUUGAGAGGGUGAGAGAGGGGAUCUCAGGCCUAGGAAUUGGCCUCCGAGGGUGAGAAUGAGGCCUCUCCAAUUGUGAGGG